AACGCACAUUGCGCCCUUUGGUAUUCCGAAGGGCAUGCCUGUCCGAGCGUCAUUUCGACCAUCAAGCAUCGCUUGGUAAUGGGCCCCGCCGGUUUGGGCGAGCCCGGAAAUCAGUGGCGGUCAAUCAUUGACUCGAGCGUUGUGAAUAUUUCACGCUCUAGAGAAUGUGACAUGACCUGCCAAGUCACCCCAUCAUUUAUCACGGUUGACCUCGGAUCAGGUAGGGAUACCCGCUGAACUUAA
rnacentral:misc_RNA from 1 species